rnacentral:lncRNA from 1 species
CCAGAUUAGAUAGUUACUGAUGAUACAAGUUAGACAUCCAAUGACAGCAGACAAAUUCAUCAACUCUCAACAAAAUAUUAUUUUCAUUUGCCAAUAUUAAACUGAAUCCUGUAUUUUUUUUCUUUUGCAGUCCAAUUUGAUAUUCACCUACCUGUGGGUGUUAACAUGCCGAAAACCAAUCGUACAAAGAGAGAACAAAAACGUCAGGCAAUGCGCCGUGCACGUGAUGCUGAGUCAGCUGAAGCACGAGAUGCUCGCCGGGCCAGAAAUGCUGAACUCCAGUCAAGGCUCCGCGCAGCUGAAACCGACAACCAACGGACCACUCGACUGGCCAGCAACGCUGCACUCCAGUCAAGGCUCCGCGCGGCUGAAACCGCCAACCAACAGACCACUCGACUGGCCAGCAACGCUGCACUCCAGUCAAGGCUCCGCGCGGCUGAAACCGACAACCAAUGGACCACUCGACUGGCCAGCAACGCUGCACUCCAGUCAAGGCUCCGGGCGGCUGAAACCGACAACCAACGGACCAUUCGACUGGCCAGCAACGCUGCACUCCAGUCAAGGCUCCGCGCGGCUGAAACGGACAACCAACGGACCACUCGACUGGCCAGCAACGCUGCACUCCAGUCAAGGCUCCGCGCGGCUGAAACCGACAGCCAACGGACCACUCGACUGGCCAGCGAUGCUGCACUCCACUCGAGGCUCCGCGCAGCUGAAACUGAAAACCAACGAUGUUGUCGACUGGCCAGUGACGCCGCCUGUCAUGAAAGGCUUCGAGAUGCUGAAACGCCUGAAGUGUGAGCAUCGCGCCAGAUGCAUGAUCGUGAACAACACCACCGCCACAGAGGGGAGGAUACACCUCAACAGCAAGAGGAACGGUGGGCAAGAGAUGCCCUGUGCCAUCAGGAAACUCAUCCCAUGUGUGGAACAGGCACGUAAAAACAAUCACAACCUCGCUCGUGUGAUGAUGCAAACUUCUUCCAAGAGAAGCUGUAUGGUAAGUACACACACACACUUAGUAAGACCUCACUGUUUGAGUGUCCUACAUGUUCACACUGCAAUGCCUAUGUAUGGAAAGAGGAGAGGAACGGAUUCUGUUGCAUGUCUGGAAAAGUAGAC